ACAACCCCUUUUUUUUGUCGAAGUUGUUAGUCUUACAAUAGACUGGGCAAAAAACCCACAAAGAUACAAGGCCGAGGCCCAAAUCGAACGUCUACACGCAGGGCAGAUAAGCAUGAACUUUAAGUGCUGCCCGCAAGACGUUAAAAGCUAAAAAUACUAUAAUCAACAGAGGCAAGGAGAAAACAUUUAAGCCUCCUAUAAUUUACAAAAAAAAUGGUCCCCAACAUGAGCUAAAAACAAGGACACAAAUUACAAACACAUGGGGUAGUUCCAAAGACAUUAACUUGUCAUAAAGAUUCCCACUCAACCACUGACUUGUCCCCAUUAAGCAGCACCACCGGCAGAGAAAACAAAGAAGCUAAUGCUUCACAACAGUGAAACCUGGCGAGGAAGAAAGAGCUUCUCUGUUUCUAAGAGGCAGCAAACAAUGAAGAGGCUUGAAGUGUGGCGAGGUGACCUGAGACAAGGGAGCCAAAUUAACCAACUCCUUGAGCUAGGGCUUCAUACCUUGGAAGCAAGCUGGACAUUUUGUCUUGUUGUAUAACCUGCUUCAGAUCCCUUGGCUGAUUCCACAUCCAAUCUGGUGGGAGGGCUCUCUUUGCUGCUAAUUGAGCCACUAGAUGUGCAGCUGCAUUGCCAGAACGGGCCACCCAGAUUAUUUGUCUCAAAAACCACCUUAUCCCACCCAAGGUUCACCGCCAAGCACACUGCCAAUCUUAAAGUCAUAGCCUCCGCAGCUAAGGGAGAUGAAGCAACAGUGAGAUUAUAACAACCAUGGAUGAAGUCUCCUCUCUCAUCUCUAGUGACUAUACAUGUGCUUGUUUUCUUUUAGUACUUUUCAAAACCAGCAUCAGGAUUGCAUUUCAGGUACCCCUGAUGAGGUCUUUUCCAUAUCUGGCUUUGAGCUCUGUUUGUCCCUUGUGAUACUUGCUUAUCCACCUGGAUUGUUUCUUCAAAGUAUUCCUUCUGGCUAGCCUUAAUCAUCUCCACCACUCUCAAAGGGUUAGGUUCUAUGCCCUUGAAAGUGCAAUCAUUCCGUGCUUUCCAGAUUCCCCAUAGAGUAAACCCCAGGGUUGCAGUGGCCUGUUCAUAGCCCUCUCCUCUUUGUUUCAGCUGGUCGAAAAUUGUAGCCAUCCACCCUGCAAAAUCGAUUACAUGAGCAGCUCCUGGGUUGAGUUGGAGUUGUCCCCCAAACCACACAAGUCGAGUCCAGCCACACUCCAAAAAGGUGUGAAUUAAAGUUUCUUUUGCUUAUCUACACACAAGGCAUAAGUCUUCUCUGGCACAAUUCCUUUUUAACAGGUUCGAUUUAACAGCCACUGCAUUCUUGCAAACUUUCCACAGGAAAACUUUGAUCUUAUGGGGGAGGAGGGCCCCCCAUAUUCCUUGCCAUAACGAGCUAGUCGGCGAGUUAGAGGAGGAAGCCCUAUUCUCAUUACUAUCCAGAUUUUUCCUUGCUUGUGUAUAACCAGACUUUACAGUAUAGGUCCCUGAUUUGAUGUGUGGCCAAAAAAGUCUGUCUUCUCCUCCCCCCCCAGCAGAAGGGGGUUUGAAGAAUCCUUCCGAGGUCAGUAACAGGGCACACCUCUCUUAUCUUUUGGACAUCCCAUUUCUUGUUGGUUUCAUCGAGCAAGAUAUUCACUUUGAGUCCUUCAGGGGAAUCAUCAGUUCCAAGUCUACCUCCACCGCUAACCCAUUCUUAUUUCCACAAAUCCACUUCUGUUCCAUCUCUUAUGCUCCAUCUACCAUUAUUUAGUAGGAAAUUCCUACCCUCAAUCAUGCUAGUCCAGGCCCAUGAAGGUCUUCUAGGUAGUUUGGCCCUCAGAAAGGUGGUGUCAUAGUAAUAAAUACCUUUUAGAAUUUUGGCCCAAAGAGCACAUCCUCAUUCUGGUACAACCUCCAAGCUUGCUUAGCAAGAAGGGAAAGGUUCAAGAGUUCUAGGUCCUUGAAACCCAAACCGCCAUCCAUCUUCCUCAUUGUGAGGAUAUCUCAUUUCCUCCAGUGUAUCCCCUUCUCUUUAUCACCUCUCCACCAGAAGUUUGCAAUUCUUCUGCUCAACUCCUUACAGAAAGUCCUUGGAAAUUUCACGAUAGACAUGAAGUAGGUAGGUAUUGCCUGCAACACUGCCUUGACUAAGGUCUCUUUUCCAGCUUGAUUUAAUAAAUUCCCUUUCCAGCCCUGGAUCUUGUUUAGAAGCCUCUCCUUUAUCCAGGCAAGGGCACUUGUUUUUUAUCUUCCCCAUUCUGCCGGUACUCCCAAAUACAUGCCCGGUGAGUCCCAAACUUGUAUAGACAAAAUAUCAGCUAGCCCUCUCAUUCUUCCUCGAUCCAUAUUGUUACCCCCCAUCAACCCUGAUUUCAAAUAAUUUAUGCGCUGACCCGAGGCAUUAGAGAAGCUAUUUAAAAUACCUUGAAGCUGGAACAGUUCCCCAUCAUUAGCUUUAGCAAACAGGAUGGCAUCGUCGGCAAAAAAGGAGAUGAGUGAUGGACGGUGUUGCCUGACCUAGCUUGACUCCUUCUAAUAAACCCCUCUCUUGAGCAUUAUGCAGCAUACGCGAAAGGACAUCAAUAGCUAAGAUGAAGAGAUAUGGUGAAAUGGGGUCUCCUUGUCGGAGCCCCCUCUCAGGUUGCAGCCUUCUGCCCAAGGUACCAUUAAUUUUAUAUCUGUAAGAAACGCUUCCAACCAGUGCCAUGAUCAUAUCCACCCACCUUCCAUCAAAGCCAUAAGCCCUUAGAACUUUGUCAAGAAAAACCCAGUCCAAGCGAUCAUACACUUUAUUCAUGUCCAGCUUGAUGAUCACGUUCUCCUUUCCAUUCCUCGAUGUCUUCUUAAGGAAGUGAAAAGCUUAUUGCACAAUUAACAGGGUAUCCUGAAUCUGUCUGCCUUCAAUGAAAGCGCUCUGGAACGGGGUAAUAAUUCUGCCCAUGAAAUGCUUGAGCCUUGUGACUACCACUCGAGAUAUGACUUUUGCAAUGAAAUUACAACAACUGAUUGGCCGGUAGUGGUUGACACUUUUAGGCAGUUGAAUCUUGUGGAUGAGAACCACUUGAGCUUCAUUGACCUCUGCUGGUAGGGUUCCAGUUUCAAAGAAGCUUUUAAUAGCUUUGGUCACCGCCUCCUGGACCGUAAGCCAUUGUUUUUGAUAAAAAGCCCAUUCAUGCUAUCUGGGCCUAGAGCCUUUAAAUCCCCUAGGUUAAAAACCGCCUCCUUGAUUUCAUCAUCGUUGAUUGGUGCAAGUAAUUCCUGAUUAAGCUCAUCAGUCACUAGUUUUGGGAUUUGCGAGAUACACUCCUCCAGGCCACUGAUUUGUGAGCUUUUGUAAACUUCUUGAAAGUGUUCAUAAAUUAAGUUGUGUAUUUCAGCCUCUUCUUCGCACCAAUCCCCUGUAUCUUUCCUGAUUCUUGCAAUCCUAUUUCGGUCCCUUCUUUGUAUUGUAGAGGCAUGGAAGAACCUCGUAUUUUUAUCUCCCUACUUCAGCCAUUUAACCCUUGAUCGUUGGUUACAGUAAAUCUCUUCUCUUUUCCAUAGUUCCUUUAUUCUAUCCUGGAGUGCCUUAAUUUGCUGGAUGAUCUCUGUGGGUUGAACACCAUUCUGUAGCUCUUGAACUCUUCUCUUUAUCCCCAGAAUUUUUCUAUCUGCUUUCUUGAACUUUCCGGUGCUCCAUCUGAUUAGUUCUUGUUUGCACUUGUCGCUUCUUGCAAGCAGAUCUUUCCAUUCAUUUUCCUCUUCUUCCCUGUCAAGCCACCCUUCCUUGACAAUUCGUGGACAUUCCUCAUCUUCCUCCCACAUAGCCUCAUAUUUAAAAGCUCUAUCCCCUCUAAUCUUUGGACACACAUCAAAAUAAUUGGUGCAUGAUCAGAGCUAAUGAUUGGGAGUGCUCUCGCAGCAACAUUAGGAUAGAUUGACUGCCAGCUCCAAUUUACUACCACCCGGUCAAGUUUCUCCCUCGUAAUAACUCCUUGUCUAGGAUUACUUACCCAGGUGAACUUGUUCCCUUUUAGAUCAACAUCCAUCAAGUUGGACUCAUCCAGGAAAUCCCUAAACAGUUCCAUGCGGCUUCUGAUCGGAGGAUGGAGGCCUUCCUUCUCACAUGGGCUAAUUACCUCGUUAAAGUCUCCUAAGCAACACCAAGGUCGUUGGUGUGGAGGCUUAAGGUGGCUCAGGAUAUUCCAGAAACUUUGUCUAGCAUUGUAAGUAGGAUGUGCAUAGAUAAAAGUAGCAAACCAAUCCACUCGCUUCUGAUUAUCUAGGAUUCUACAGUGAAUGUAGUUUGAAGAUGCUUGCAGCAUUAUGACCUGCAAAUCAUCUUUCCACAAAAGACAUAACCCUCCUGAUUGGCCAGCUGCUUCCAUACAAAACCAGUUUGGAUAUUUAAGGGUUAAAGAUAGUCUCCUAACUCUCUCCUUUGGAGCCCUAGUCUCCAUUAGAAAGAUGAUCGACGACUGGACUUUUCUGCUCAACUCCUUGAGCUCGCUUGCUGUCGCAGGAGCCGCCAUCCCACGACAGUUCCAACUAAGAUAACUCAUGGCGCCCUUGGGGGCAUGGGGUGUCCCGCCUCCUCAGCCUUAAGUAACAUGGUAGUGGAGAAAUCAACAGAAGUUCUUCCUGCCUGAUUUAUGCAAACUCUCUUGAAAGAUCUAGUUUAUUCAAUUAAGUUGUCCCCUUCCUCUGUAGUAAUUACCCUCCUUUUGAGUGAUAGAGCCCUGGAGAAACCUGCUGCCAACUGUAUCAUGUUGUUUCCAUCAAGAGCUUUCUCAUUCCCUACGUUGGUAUUUGCUCCUUCAUCCUCUUCUGCCAUCUGAACAAAAUACUCGAGGUUAUUUGAUUGGACCACAGAUAUAUGUUGUUCCUUAUCUGGUCUUCUCUCUCUAAGCUCACUGCUACAUUUUCUCCUGGCUCUUUCUAUCUCUUCAUCAUAGAGCACUGCCCCAAAGCCACUCGUCUGCCCCUGUUAUGGACUGGGAUAGUCCAAAAUUAUAACUCCCUGUUUAAGCCCUACAUUCUCUUUGAGAAAGCCCAGAUCUUCCACUCUCUCCGGCCCCGGCCCUACACUUGGGACAUUAGAUCCCAGUGGGACACAUCAAACUCCUAGCUCUCUUGCCUGUCCCUUUUGUUUGGGGUCACUACUGGCCUCACCUUUUCCCUCUGUCGUUACCCUCACUCCCGGUUGUAGCAAUGGCUCCCCCUCAGAAGGCACCCCUCUGUCCUGAGUCUUCCCCUCUUCUUCUAUCAUUGUGUCUGUAUUUGGGCAUUCUCCUGAUGAUUUCUCUCCCACCUCCAAAUCACCUUCCAUUAUAUCUUCCUUGUGGUUUCCAGCCCUCAGUUCAACAUUUCUUACUUCUUGGGGAGUCUGGGGUAGUGCGUCUUCACGAGAGUAGUUUCCUUCUUCCAUUGCACUCGUUGUCUCUGGAGUCUGCUGCCUUUCUUGUUCUCCUUUAGGGUUGGUCUCCUGUUGAAAGAUUUUUUCUACACUGAUACUACUUUCAAAAUCCUCAAGAUUCAAUUGUAGUAUAGCAUAGGGUUUUGUCGUAUCCGCAGGGAAUUGCUAACACAAAUGUCGUUCUUUAGUAAAAUUACCCAAGCAAUAGAUUUUCAAAAGGUUGAUAAUUGUUUCGGUGACCAAAACACAUUCAAAUUAAACAAAGCGAGAGUAAAAAGAUUGAUAUCAAGAGAGAAAGUUGUUGGAAUUGGAGUUCAUCGUUUAACUAUUAGUGUCCUAUGAUUCUAUAUGAAUAUUCAUUCCUAUCCAUGAUUCAUCUACACCAUUUCUACCCUACUUCAUUGAUUCCUCACAUGAGUGGAUAUCUAUAACUUACUUUCCUAAACAUUGAUUCCUCACAUGCAUAGAAAAGCUAAGUUAUCUUUAAGCUCAGAUGUUUAAGGGACUAACAAACCUAACUCUAUUCCUAGCAAUUAGAUUUAUUAGAUGGUUAACUCUAGGUUGGACUCUAGACGUUGUAGCUUCCGCUCUUGCGCCGAAUCAAGCGAUAUGUUCUAGGUGCGCAAACUAAAACAUAGCAUUAAGAACAAGAGAAAACCAUUGAAUCAUGUAAUAGAAAUGAUAUUUUCAUAUAGAAAUCAAGAAGAACAAGUCAUAGUUAAAGGCUACAUCCAAAUCCAACAAAGAAACUUAGCAACCCAUAUCCAUGGAUUGCUUACAAAGCUUACAAGAGGAAACUAAGGUGAAAGCGGUGACCCGUGUCGUCCUCGGUGUGUCUCCAGCACGAUGGAUGGUGGAUCAAAGCUCCCAAAGUUCCUUUCCUUCUUCUCUAUGCAAUUUUCUCUCUAAGAGGUCCAAAAUAUGUCAAGAGAUGCCUCAAUUCUGAUCUGGUCGAGCCUUUUAUAAAACAGGGCAACAGUUUCGCUUAAGCUGAUAAAGGUGUCGCUUAAGCGAGCAGGUUUCUUCACCUUCAGGUAAGGUCUUUGGCUUAAGUGAGACCAAUUCUCGCUUAAGCCGAAUUGUCUUCCAGAACCACUGCUACUGCCAUGUAAUUUGGCUUAAGCGAGGCAACAUUUGGCUUAAGCGAAGUUCAAUAUAUCUGCCACUGCUACUGCCAUGUAGUUUGGCUUAAGCGAGCCAACUUUUGGCUUAAGCGAACUUCAAUAUUUUUAGCCCCUUUUGAUCUUCAAAUGGUUGGAUCUUCUUGACUUUUCUCCUACAAUAAAAAUCAAAGAGUCUAAAUGAUAAAACUAACAUAUCUUACAUUUAUCUAUAUAAAAACUAUCUACUUACUAAAUUAACCUUAUUGAGGGAUAAUUUGAAAGAUAACGUACACAUUUAUAACAGAUAAGUGCCGAAAUUAAUAUAGAAAAUCAGGUAAAUUUGACACUUAUCAUCUCCUCCUCUUCUCUGCUGUUGGAACCUUCUGGCUUAGUGUAAGGUCUGCAUACAAACUUUUUAGUUUUGGGACCUAUUUUCAUUCUCCAAUAGUCCAGCUCAGUACGCUUAUGACUCGCAUCUCUAGCGUUCUCCGGUUCUUGCCCUGUAUUCCCCAUCGGUUUUGACAUUACAAUACUUGCUAUGUUUCGUGCCUGACUAACCCCUAGGCUCUGGGAGUAUCGUGGGACUUUGUUAUUGCAGGCAGACAUGGCUCUCUGCUUUUUACAUUCUUUUUGCUCGUGACCCAUAACACCACACUUAUAACACAUGCCCUGGAGCUUCUCAUAACGUAGAUAGACCCAGAUCUUUGGGAGAUCCUUUCUAGGCACCCAAAAACCUGUAGGGAUGAGUUUCGUAAUGUCCAAGUUUACUCUUACCCGAAAGAAGGUGCGCAUCAUUCUUCCUCCAACAUUGGGGUUUUCAACUCCCAACACCUCACCUAUCUGUGUCGCCACCUUGUAGACAUUACUAGUGCUCAUAACUUCAAGGGGUAAUCCGUGGAUUUGCACCCAAAAGGGAAUCAUGUCAAAGUUAACCUCAAAAAUCGAGAUCUGGGGUGCCCAAUGCUGCAAGCUCAAAACAUUACCCAACACAUGCCAUGGGGCCUCUUUCAUGAUCUUCACUGCCUGUUCUUCCUCUUUAAAGGUAAAGAGAAAGGUAUUUACACCCAUAUCAGUAACUUGUAGAUCCUCUGGGUUUCCCCACACUUUGAUGAUCAUUCCUCUAGUCACGUUCUUGUUCAGCGGUUUGCUGCAAACUAUUCUGCAUGCAAUCGUUCUUUUAGCUAGUUCCUCACCACCUUCUUCAUCCACUUGUAGAUCCACUGUAGCACCAUCCAGACUCCGGAUCUCCUCCUGUGUGGACUCAGCUCCUGGCUCUUCAGUAGCACUGGAAGAAGCCAUUCAAGCUGAAUGACUACGCACAACUAAGCUUCAAAGUACUCUUAGCUCUUGUGAGUGGAAAAAGGACACAAACACAACACCCACUAUACAGGGUGGAAGAGAAUCUCUAGCUUCUCUAGAGAAAAAGAACUCUCCUUAGAAAACCUCUGACUUUAGUUCCAAAGUUCAGACAACUUUUGAAACCCUAGCAGAGCUCCAAGAGAAGCAAAUUAGAUUCACCUCUUCAAAUAUUUGAAGAUAGCACUUUAACUAAGAUACAACCCUUUGAAACAAUAUAUCUAUAAUUUCGUUGAUGGGGCGUUGAGCUAUCAAUUAAAGGCCCAAAAUCUAAUUUAUGUGAGACUAAAAAGUUUGGGCUGGGCCAAACUUUAUCAACAUAACCAAAAACAAAACAAACGAAUUCCAUCUCUAAAAUUCCUUUUGACAAAAAAUUAUCUCCAAAAUUUCAACUAUAUUUCAAAGCUUUUUUGAGAUUGAAAUUAAAAAAAUAUAUUUCAAAGCUCAAUUUAUCAAUAAAAUUCAAGAUACAUGCAUAACGAAAUUUCAUAACUUUUUUAUUUAUUUUUAUAUAACGUGAGAUUGAUUUAUAUGGUGGGUUAAAUCACCCCGUCAUGAAUAAUUUAGAAAGCCACCGUUAUAAAUGGUGUGUAGUUAUGACAUAAUUAGGCACGGCAACGAGCUGGUUGGGUCGCAACAGGUUGAGGUUGAGGGUUAAGGAGAGAAAACUACAUCUAAUUUUGAAAGUUGUUGCAAACGGGACAAAAAGUAAAUAUAAAAUAUGACGACUAAUUAGAUUAGGCCUAGGGUUUAGACCCUUUAUACGAUAAAAGGAAAGGAUCUUUCAUAGCAUGGUCGUUCACUUGAAUACUAGUAAAAUGCAGUGACUAGUCUCUAAAACUCUUUUAAAAAAUACCCAAUAUUAUAUUCUCACCACGCUAUUUUUUUUCUUUUGGUUACAUUAUAUAAGCAAGUCCCCAAAUAAUAGUUGAAGUGGUAAGAGCUAAAAGACAUGUGAAUCGGGGGAGGGGGGAAUUUAGGGAUUAAUCCCUGGAGGGUGCAAUAUAUCUUAACGAUGUACCAAAAAACAUUAUAUAAGCAACACGCAGAAAAGGUUGUCUAAAAUGUAUCAACCAUCAGUUUGUGACUAUUAAUGCCAUUAAAGACUAAUUUUAAUCAUUUUUUUACAGCACUAAAUACUUGUUUUAUAUAUAAUAAUAUGAAAACAAUUAUUACGCGAUAAUUGUUGUUUUUCUACUUAAAAUGUUACAUUUUCUCACCGUGUAGCCAUAAAAUACGAGAAAUUUUACUAAGACGAUUAUGCAACAAUGAAACAUGAGACAAUUAAAAAUUGUUAUGUAAAAUUUUAUGAAACUGUUAUUAUAUAUCCAUGACUACGCUUUUAAACCGUUAUGUUAUGUAAAAUGAAAAUCAUGUUGUGCAGUGUCAUUUCAUGGAUACUCUUUGAAUAGUUGACGUGAAUUUUUUGUUUCUUCA